AUUCCAUGAUGGGGACAAUCUAGGAUGUAGUCUUGGAAGCGCUCCCAUGCCUCUGGAACGGAUUCAUCAUGUUGUUGCUGAAAACUUGUAAUCUUCCCACGGAUAUG
rnacentral:snoRNA from 1 species